UGAACAGAUUCUUCGCCUAUAUAUACCCUGUAGAACCGAAUGUGUGUGGAGUUGCCCUGGUCACAGAUUGGGUUCUAGGGGAGUCUAUGGGCAAUGACUAGUCAUC
rnacentral:pre_miRNA from 1 species